GUCGUAACAAGGUCUCCGUAGGUGAACCUGCGGAAGGAUCAUUAA
rnacentral:rRNA from 1 species